rnacentral:rRNA from 1 species
CCUACGGGAGGCAGCAGUGAGGAAUAUUGGUCAAUGGGCGGGAGCCUGAACCAGCCAAGCCGCGUGAGGGAAGAAGGUACAGCGUAUCGUAAACCUCUUUUGUCAGGGAACAAAGGCGGGGACUAGUCCCCGGAUGAGGGUACCUGAAGAAAAAGCAUCGGCUAACUCCGUGCCAGCAGCCGCGGUAAUACGGAGGAUGCGAGCGUUAUCCGGAUUUACUGGGUGGAAAGGGAGCGCAGGCGGUAUGGCAAGUCAGAUGUGAAAACCCAGGGCCCAACCCUGGGACUGCAUUUGAGACUGCCAUACUGGAGUGCAGGAGAGGUAAGUGGAAUUCCUAGUGUAGCGGUGAAAUGCGUAGAUAUUAGGAGGAACACCAGUGGCGAAGGCGGCUUACUGGACGGUAACUGACGCUGAGGCUCGAAAGCGUGGGGAGCAAACAGGAUUAGAUACCCCUGUAGUC